rnacentral:rRNA from 1 species
GACGAACGCUGGCGGCGUGCCUAAUACAUGCAAGUAGAACGCUGAAGGAGGAGCUUGCUUCUCUGGAUGAGUUGCGAACGGGUGAGUAACGCGUAGGUAACCUGCCUUGUAGCGGGGGAUAACUAUUGGAAACGAUAGCUAAUACCGCAUAAUAGUAGAUGUUGCAUGACAUUUGCCUAAAAGGUGCAAUUGCAUCACUACCAGAUGGACCUGCGUUGUAUUAGCUAGUUGGUGGGGUAACGGCUCACCAAGGCGACGAUACAUAGCCGACCUGAGAGGGUGAUCGGACACACUGGGACUGAGACAGGGCCCAGACCCAUACGGGAGACAGCAGUAGGGAAUCUUGGGCAAUGGACGGAAGUCUGACCGAGAAACGCCGCGUGAGUAAAGAAGGUUUUCGGGUCGUAAAGCUCUGUUGUAAGAGAAGAACGAGUGUGAGAGUGGAAAGUUCACACUGUGACGGUAUCUUACCAAAAAGGGACGGCUAACUACGUG